GCAGAACUGAACUUGGCAAGGGAUGUUAAAAACGAUACGAAGACUUGUAAUCUAUAAGGCAUAAGAAAGUAACAUCUUGAGAGUGAGUUCAGAGGCAGACAGGAGUAAUGGAUUUCACCACUAUCAGCCACCUGGAGUCUCCUGAGCUCCAAAGAUCACCAUGUAUUCCAGACAUCUCAGCUGUUCAAAGAAGAGGAAGAUUUUCAUAUUAUUUGUAAGAAUGAACAUGGUUGAGGAGGGUUCUUCUGUAUCUCUAAAUAUCUGUGUUGACUUGAUUUACCAAAGAGCUGCUCCUGCUGCCUACCUUCCACACAGGACAUUGGGAAGCUCUUCCAGGACAGCUCAAAUGUACCUUGCUCAGCAGGCCGUGCUAAGCUGGUCAUCACCUGUGGCUGGCAUCUCUCUUAUCUGUUCCAUUGCCUUGGUCAGGAUUUCUGAGAGCUGAAGAGUAAAAUGCAGAGUAGAUGAGAAGAUAAUUUUGUGCAUCUGUAGAGGUAUGUGUAUAGCUGUAUUUAAUGACGAAGAGGAAAGAAAAAAGGACAGAGGAAAGAAAAAAGUGACAGAGAAGAUAAUUUUUCAUUCUUCCCAGUGCAACUGCAGUAUGUAUCAUGUCUGG
ensembl:lncRNA